CCCAGCCCCUUCCUCACCUUCCAGGGGUGCCUGGGCAUUUGCAGCCCCAGGAGACAGUUUCCAUCAUGCCCCCUGACCAUCUGGAAUUAUCCCAACUCCCUGGCAAGGCACAGACCUGGGAUCUCACCAGCCCAAACUGCAGUCUUUUUCCAGAAGUUUUGAGGGAUCGAACUUGGGACCUUGCCUUUGUGAGACAGGUGGUAGAACCACUGAGCUAAAUGCCUGGCCCAAGAAAGCAUUGACUUAUAAAGAGAAGAGCUUACUCCCUUCUGAUGCUCUGGUCCCAUAUCGGGAGGCCCAGCUGGAUGGCAGUGGAGCAGACUGCUCCCCACAUGAGCCAGGAAGUCAGAGCCAGCAAGAGCCGGGUCCCACAGUCCCCUCCAGGACACACCAGUGACCCUGAAAGUGCCAUCACCUCCUGAAAGCACAGUCCUGGGGACCAGGCUUCAGCACUCAGACCUGUGGGGACCCUACUGCAGUUGGCUAAGAGGGCUCAGGCCUGUGCAGGAGUUGCUGUCCUCAGUGGCUGUGCAGGGGCAGCAGCGGCCGAGUGUGGCCUCCUGUAGCCCACCCUGAGGCAGUGGGUCAGAAAGACCCCAGGAGUCUGCUCCUCAGCCAGGCUCGCCCUGCCUCGAACUUCCUGCUUUGAGCUGAUUUCCUGAUUAUUUCCUGUGCUUUCUGUGAACAGAGGUCUCAGCAUGGGCACAUCUGUGCCCCGUACCAACUAGGCCUGUGUAGGAGCUCAGGUCUCCAUGAUCACAGAGGCCACAGGGACAGGUGAAUCGCUGAGAAUGCCCUCCAAUGCAGCAGAAAACACCACAGCCAGGACUGGUUUUGCCACCCUGGCUCAGCCUCAGGAGCCUUGGUGACCACAUGGGCCUCUGUGUUCAGUGAAAGCAUUGACGCUGUCAAACAAGUGAAGGGUUGGAACCAGGUGUGGUGGCACAUGCUUAUAAUUCCAGCACUUCGGAGGCUGAGGUAGGAGGAUCCUACUGAGUUUGAGGCCAGCCUGGGCUACAGAGUGAGACCCUGUCUCAAAAAUAAAAAACCAAACAGAAACAAAACAAAACAACACACCACAAAGGAAAAGAGACGAUGAACAGAGGCCUUCAGCCUGCAGAGCCAUUUCCCGGGAUGAAGAGGAAGGUCCUGUCCUUCCAUCCUAUCAGAGAGUGG
ensembl:lncRNA